CAAAAACAACCGGAUAAAUGUGCUAGGCAGCCCGCAUGUGGCCCGUGGGCUGUAGUUUGAGGACGACACCUGCUUUACUGAGAAGCUACAGAGACAAAGUGCACCAUAACCUCAGACAUACCCACUAAAUUAGCAUGGUUACAGCAUAAUACAUUGGUUACAAGCCUAAGCUUUGGAAUCAGAUAGCUCUGAAUUUGAAUUCCAGUACUUCCUCUUACUAGCUGAGCAACAUUGGGCAAACCACCUAGCCUUUGUAUCAGACAUAACUCCCUUGAUUGCAAGUAACAGUUCCUUCAGAAGAAUUGAAAAUUGAUUGGUCUACAUACUUGGGAAACCCAAGGGGUCUGCUCCCCAUGUAUAAAGAAUCUACAUUUUAGGCUCUCUUACUUACAAUGCUCCUUUUCUGUACCAGUUUAUUAGUCACUUUUGGUGACAACUGACAAAACCACAUCACAAAAUAGCUUAAGCAAAUAGGAAGUUUAUAGGCCCACGUGACUUGGUGGUUACAGAUUAUUGUACACCUUAGCCAUGAUUGAAUCUAGGGCUCACAUGAUAUCUUUUUCUCUAUGUUUCUAAUAAGCAUGCUCUACAUGGUGAGUAAGAUGACCACCAGAAGCCCCGGACUUAACUUGACAAUUCCCAGGAGACAAGGAUCAUAUCUUCUCUCAUAGAAAAUUCCAGAGAAAUUUCUGUUUGACUCAACCUGGGUCAGUGCCCAUUUGUGACCAAGAGGAUGGGGUGCUCUGAUUGACUGAGCCUGAGUACACAUUCAUCCCUUUGACUAAGGGUAGACUGUAUAAUCAAACUGCAUGAAAUGAGUUCUCUACAGGAGAGAGGAGUUUUGAGUGCUGGACUGUUCAUAGUAACAUGCUCACUGCAACUUCCUAGUCUUGAUCUCCUCACCUAUAAAAUCAGGAUUAUUCUCUUUUCUCAUAGCACUAUUAUAAGAUUAAAUAACAUAUGUAAGGCAUCUACAACACUGCUCAAAUGAUGGUAGCUAGUAUUUUGCCAAACAGUAACUUACUACUAUUUUGUUUAGGACACGUGAUUUUGUGUCAAUUUGGCUAGACCAAACUGCAUUUCCCAGAAUUCCCUUUCCUAUUUGUUUCUGAUUAGCCUGUGCCAAAAAAAAAAAAAAAAAAAAGAUUCUUGCAUGAGAUUUGGAAGUGAAGCAGCAGCCAUUUUGUGGCUCACAAAUCUUGUUACGUAUCUGCUAGUUCACCCUGCUGGUGUGAGGCGGCAGUCAAGCCUGCAGCACUUCCACCUUCCCCUGGCUCCUUCUUCAGCUUCUCAACUCCAGGCCAGAGGUGCGUUUAGUUCCAUGACAGAGGUUGCCAGCUUCUCCCGAAGGACACUCAGACCAUCAAGUCAGAGGCAGCAAGAACUGACAGUGGUUUCCACCCUUCCUCUUAGGUUCUACCUCGUGCUUGUAGGUUCUAGCUUAUUCUUUUUUUCCCUCUACUUUACUCUCACCUGCCCUUCCCUGAGGACCUCAUACACUACCAUUGGACACAAAGAUGACAGCUUCACAGAGACUCCAUAACCAGCUUCCAAAAUUACAGAAGAUCAAAUCUAACCCUUCCUCCCUCUCUCUCUCCCCACCCCCACAACACCUUUAAGUGGUUCUGCUUCUCUCAUUGGAUUCUGACUAAUAAAAACAGAAGCCAAGUUUCCUACAUGCCCACCAAUCUCCCUUUGGGGAAAGAAGACCCUUUGGAAAUUGUUUCAAGGGAAGCACAAAUUAGGCUAAAUCUAGAACUAAUAGUUACAGUAAGUGUCAAAAUAAUUUAUAAAAAAUAAAGCUGGAGAAAAACACAAAAUACCACAGCACCAACCACAUUUUAACUUCCCCACUAGAGGCACAGACCAGCAUCUUCUGUCACGGAUCCCAUAUUGGCUCCGACUUGCCCAAGGUCAGGAGCAAAGCUCACACAAGAGUCAACGAGAUGCUUCGGCCAAGGGGGGGGGGGGUUCAAAUGUUUAAAUCAAGCAGGAGCCCUUUUCAGUCUAGUUACAUAAAAGCUUAAGUCCAACGGGUGAGGAUGUCCAUCACACCCAUACAUGUGCAGGGUGGGAAUUUCUCGCCACGUGCCUUUCUGCAGCUGAGACUUGGCUGGGUCCCCCGUAGCGGCUGCCCAGGACAGUGUUCUCUGGACUUCCUCAUUCCUGGCCUCUCCACACAGGAAGCAGCAAAGCAGUACAUGUUGCUCCCUUCUGUGAGCUGUGGAGAACCUCAGAGCAUGCAACACUGGCUGAGAAAGGAAGUAUUCCCAUCCUGUCACGGGAACUGAGAGUUAGGAAAACUUUUAUAUGAAGGAAGUAAAAUGAGGAUCUAUGGCGAGAACAGCAGCUCCCUUCUCAGGCUCUCUGAGAACUUUCCAAGCCUGACAGACAGGCCCUCUAGGAGCUGACCGUGAGGCCUCUCCAGCCCACACACUCCAGCCAUCCUCGGUGUGGCUGCCCCGGGUCCCUGCAUGGCGUCUCCUGCCUGGAAGGCUCCUACCCAGCCCUCUUACUUCUACUCUGCAGUGGUCAGCUCAAGCCUGGCCUCCUCCAGGAAACCCUACCUCCCUCUCUCUCUUUUGGAAGUUUCCAAAGCAAGCAGAGUCUUUACUACACAGUCAAGCAUCCCUCUGUGAUCCCUUCUGGAAGUUACCGAGUAAUCAGUUCCUCCAACAUUCCCUUUGCUAAUAUCUUCUCUGGCCACCAGCUGCAGUCCCGGUAUUCCUGGGACUGUCUGGAUGGCUGUGGUCUGCCCACCUGCUCACCAUGGUGUGUGGUUAGUAGGAAAGCAUGUAAUAAGAUAUUCAGUCAGCAAAAGGCCUGAGGAGGCUGCAGUCCUGUGGGGCUUCCCUCACUCCGGGCAGCUGAAGGGGAGGGUGGGGAGGAUGGCUCCAGGUUGGCUCUGCAGCCAGGAGGCCUUGGGGGAGUUCUCUGAUGCAACUGCCUUCCCUGGGUCUGUGCAGUGGGCAUCCCCCCAGAACUUCCAAGAGGCCACAGGCUACCAUCUCUGCUGCAGCCUCUGCUAUGUUCUUGGCUCCUAAAUCUUGGCCACAGCCUCAGCUUGGCCCCACUGACACCGGCUGAGCUCAUGAUCAGGAACCCGAUUCUGGAGUCAGCUCCCUGGGCUCUGGCUGGGUGGCUGGGUCCCUCCUGAUGCCUUAGUUUUCUCGUGCAGAAAAUGAGGGUGAUAUUAGUACCUACUUCACUAGGUUAUUCAGAGGAUCAAAUGAUCUAUUUCUGUUAAAUCAGAGUAAUCCCUGACAUAUAAGUGUUGGCUAUUCUUGUUUAAUAUUAUUUUAAUGGAAGAGGAAGAAGAGAUGGCCAAUUAUCUCUAGGUGAGAGGCCACCUGAUUUUUGUGAGCCCUUUAUCCUAAAGUUUUCUUUAGGAUAAUCUGGUUUAGGAUAAAUCUGGUUCCUAUAGCUAGAGGCAGUUCUGGCCUUCUGAGGAACUUUUUACUGCAGCUACUCCUGGGUUUCAUUCUGUGCUGUCCUCUGUCUCCCAAGAGGCAAGCCAUGGCUGAGUUCUAAAAAAGUUGUCUUUAACUGCCACCCUGAUUUAGUCUAUCUCUAAUUGUUUUGAAUGUGUUAAUCAUGAUAACUUAAACUUCUGUGUGCUUUUUGAGGCAAGCAAUUCGGUCUUGUGCAUUUUUCUUUAUUUCCCAACUACGCCUAACAUAGUUCUAGGCACUGGUUGAGUGACACAUAGAAUCUUAGAGAACCCAAAAGCAAUUUACCACCCCAUUGCCUAGUGUGCAUGAGACCAGAAGUAAUACAAGGUCAAGGGACACUCUUGACCUUGGACAUCUGAGUCUCGAUCAGGCAGGUUGGCAGAGAUACCCGGCUUGGAUUUUGGUAAGUUGAGAGAGUGGAAUGACAACCAGUAGAACUUCCAGCCCUGGCCUCUGUCCACUCCCUGAGGUUUGCAGUAAACCUAAGUAGCUUUAUUUGGGAGGCAGACAGGGGAGAUGCCAGCAAGAGCCAAUAAACAGACAUCCUUCUCUCUCUUGAUUUUAUUUCUUCAGCAAUGCACUGAAAUAAUGCUGAGCCAAGAGUCUGCAGUAAUCAAAUAGACAUGGACCAUGAAGGGGGUGUCAUUCCAGGCUGCAGGGAAAGCUCCAAGGUUCUGCUAUGGUUCUCCAUGGCCACUCUUUUUUUUUUUUUUUUUUUUUUUUUUUUACCGGAAAGGGAACUGUUUAUGGCAUCUCUUAGGUCCCUGUGGCAUUUUAGCGCAUUUGUUGAAAUGCUUUUAGAUUAGCAUUAAGUGUGUGUUAUCCUUGAAAAGACUGGAUGAGUAACAAACGAGCUAACCUAUCCUAUUUUCCAUAAAGAACUCUAAAUUCCUCCCACUUCCCUGAACAAAAUAUCUGUAUUCCCACCCACACACUCUCAGCUAACCUGCUGCCGAGGCUGAAACCCAGCCAAGCUGGGCCUCAGCACUGCUCCCGGGGCUUCAGGCUGCUCCCCAGCCAGCCAGGUCCUUGACUCUGAGUUCUUGCUCUGCUCUGAUGUAGAUAAAGGCAAAUUAAUUGGGGCCAAGAGUCCCUCUGCCAGAUGGGCUGAAAUGCCAUAGACUGACUGCAGUCAGCAGUCCUCAGGGGAGUCCAGACGUUAAACGCUUUGCUGUGCAGAAGUUGUCAGCAAGCAGCAAAGCAGACCAGCCCCCAACCGCCAUGCAUGCCAUGUUCCUGCUCGGGCUUCCAGGUGCCCUCUGCCCCUCACCUGAAAGGCCUUCCCUUCUCCUAGGCACCUGACAAAUCCUACUGUCUUUCAACACUCAGCCAAAGCUCCUCUGCCUCAGCCAUUCCUUCAGAAUUGGUGCAUAUAUUGAGCACCUGCUGAAUUCCAGGAGGGACCCGAGGUGAGGAUACCAAGAUGAAACCCACGAGCUCUCCCUGCAAGCAGCUCCCAAUCUGGAAGGCUUCUCUGGCUGCUCCGGCCCACAAGCACUGCCCUUCUUUGAACCCCUUUGAACAAGUUUAAAGUAUAGUAUAGAUCUCACAGAAUCAUCAGUCUUAGAAACAGAAGGAACCUCAAAAAAUUCAUCUAGUCAGUCCAACCUUGGCUUUUGUAAAUAUAACCUCAACUUACAGAUAGGCUAACAGAGCCCAUGGGAGGAUAAGAGCAUUGUCCACAGUCACAGAGUGAGUUGGUGCACUUAGGUGCUCUAACUGCCCUCUGUGUUGGUCCUAUUCCCCAAAAGUUCCCUAAGCUUGCCAAGAUGGGGCCAGGACAUUUUAGCUUCCUGUCAACCUCUCUGUACACAUUAAGUGCCUAAUAAAGGCUGAUAACUUGC